CCUUGGUGAGCCCACACUGAAGGAGAAGAACCAAGAGGCAGCCAAGGAUCUAGAUUCAGGCUGCAGAAAAGUCUUGCUACUGCAGAGAUUACAGUUCGGGUCAGCUGAGUAGACCCUGGGUGUAGGGCGCAGAGCAUGACGGGAACGAGAGGUGAUUUCCGUAAGCAGGCUCCAAGGUGCCACCACCAAGCCCAGGAGUAUCUUUCCCACUUUGCCGA